rnacentral:lncRNA from 1 species
AUUUACAUUGUAAACUUAAGUAAAUUGAGUAAUAUAAAAAUAAAUUAAAGUAAAAGGACAAAGACAUUUACUUAAAUGUUGAAAAUAGAAAUAAGGUAAUCUGUACACCAAUUGAGCAAAGGGGCAGUUUGAAGCACCUACAAUGGUUUUUUCGGCGAAGGAAGGUGCAGCUGCACCUCCUUGCGCCUUAAUGGAUCCGCCUCUGGUUGUCCACCUUCACCGGAACAGUAGGUGGUGGCGGUCGAAAAUUGCUGCUCCGAUUUCGUUCCCGGUCUAUUUGCAAAAUCUGAAUUGCAC